GGUAGAUGAUGUUACUGCAGAUUUUAUUAUAAGCCAGCUAUUAUUUCUUGAUGGAGAAGAUGAUAAAAAGGACAUCAGAUUGAUCAUUAAUUCACCUGGUGGUUCAGUAACUGCUGGCAUAUAUGAAGCUACGUCCUUGGAUCAUUCUAGGAGAGAUUCUUUCCAAGGCUCAAGCUCCAAUGCCAUCUUGGAUGAUCAACCUGAAAUGUCUCCACUUCCUACUUGAUGUGCAAUAUCAGUACUUUCCAUGUUACGCCCAAACAUCGAGUGCCUGGAAUCGUGGAAAGCGCCUCAGGAUUGAUUAUCUAUAACGUUUUGUGCCCGUUCCCAUUGAUGGUUGCAAUGUUGCAUCGACAUUGAAUUUGUGUUAUGAUUUGAUUCAUAUGACCAACAGGGUUAGCGAAAUAUUUGUACAAACAGUAUAUAUACCUUCCCAUAUUUUAUGGACUUCAAUUAUUUUCUUCUCC